rnacentral:misc_RNA from 1 species
AAGUCGUAACAAGGUUUCCGUAGGUGAACCUGCGGAAGGAUCAUUAUUGAACGAAAACGGGUGGCAAAGGCUGUCGCUGGCUUGAAUGAGCAUGUGCACGUCUUUUGCUGCUUAUUUCAUUCAUCUUUCCUCCUGUGCACUAUUUGUAGACACUUGGGAAUGAGAGGUUUGUUGUAUUGAUUGACCUCUUGGCGUUGAAAAAAUUCAAUGCAAUGUCCAAGUGUCUAUGACAUUUUUAUAUACACACGGUUGUAUGUCUAUAGAAUGAGAUGUAGGCUUAUUUAAAGCCAUUAAAUGAUAAAGUACAA